GAUGAACGCUAGCGGCAGGCCUAAUACAUGCAAGUCGAGGGAGAAAUUUGGUGCUUGCACUAGAUGGGAACCGGCGAACGGGUGCGUAACACGUAUGCAAUCUACCUUCAACAGGGGAAUAGCCCGAAGAAAUUCGGAUUAAUGCCCCAUAACAUAUUGACAUGGCAUCAUGUUAAUAUCAAAGUUCCGGCGGUUGAAGAUGAGCAUGCGGCCUAUUAGUUAGUUGGUGAGGUAAUGGCUCACCAAGGCAACGAUAGGUAGGGGUUCUGAGAGGAUGAUCCCCCACACUGGUACUGAGACACGGACCAGACUCCUACGGGAGGCAGCAGUAGGGAAUAUUGGGCAAUGGAGGAAACUCUGACCCAGCCAUGCCGCGUGCAGGACGAAGGCCCUCUGGGUCGUAAACUGCUUUUAUUUAGGAAGAAACCUCUCUACGUGUAGAGAGCUGACGGUACUAAACGAAUAAGGAUCGGCUAACUCCG
rnacentral:rRNA from 1 species